rnacentral:rRNA from 1 species
UCCGGUGAUUCGUCGGAGGGGUCACACCCGGUCUCAUUCCGAACCCGGCAGUUAAGCUCUCUUGAGGCGAUGAUACUCCUUCGGGGGGAAAGUAGCUCGUCGCCGGAA